GACGAACCGUGCGAACGUUAUUCGGAAUCACUGGGCGUAAAGGGUGUGUAGGUGGCGCCGUAAGUCGGGUGUGAAAUUUCGGAGCUUAACUCCGAAACUGCAUUCGAUACUGCGGUGCUUGAGGACUGGAGAGGAGACUGGAAUUCAUGGUGUAGCAGUGAAAUGCGUAGAGAUCAUGAGGAAGACCAGUGGCGAAGGCGGGUCUCUGGACAGUUCCUGACACUGAGACACGAAGGCCAGGGGAGCAAACGGG
rnacentral:rRNA from 1 species